AAAAUUCAUGAACUCUUGGCAACUUAUUUGCUCAGAACUGAAAGUUAGCUGGUACGGACCAGUAUGGCAAACUGGUGCAGAAAAGGCUGAUGUUACGUCUGCAGUACAACCGUACUGCUACUAUCGGGCAGGAGGUGCAGAAGCAUGAAGUCCCACAUCACCAGGUUCAAGAACCGCUACUUCCCUUUACCCAUUCAGUUCUUGAACCAACCGGCAAAACCCUAAUCACUACAGUUUAGCAACACUAUGACCAUUUUGAUCACUUUGCAAUAAAAUAGAUUUUGGUUGUUUUUGUUCUUUCUUGUAAAAAUUGUGAUAUAUUUAUGUUUAAUUUAUGUUUUUCUUGUGAAAGCUGCUUGUAUGAUGCCGUGUGCCUGUGAUGCUGGUGCAAGCCAGUCUUUCAUUGCACCUGUGCAUGCAUGUACUUGUGUAUGGGACAAUAAACUUGACUUUGACUUUGUUGUAUUUGUGUUUUUGCAGAGUGACUGGUAUACCUUGGGUUACCUUGGUGAAUUAGUUUGAUAGUUUUGAUGAACUACUUUGGGUUGUUUAUAUUGCCAGGUUUGCAUUGGUUAUGUUACUUUUGGACGCAUUGAUUUUUUUUGAAUUAUACAUUGUUAUUUAGGAUAUUUCAGGCAAAUUGUGACAUAUGGGUACAUUGGCAUAUUUCAAUGGAGUGGUUUAAUAGGUUUGUAACUACCUUGCUGUUAUAUUUUGAACAGCUAAUUAUAGCAUUCACUCAAAUCUCCUUUGGAUGUAAUACUUCAAAUACCUCUUUAAAAAGUUGUGAAAGGAUGAAUCAAUAAAUAAAGAUAAUUGGGCUCAGCUCAAUUUGACUGGAUUGUG